CCUACGGGAGGCAGCAGUGAGGAAUAUUGGUCAAUGGGCGUAAGCCUGAACCAGCCAAGUCGCGUGAGGGAUGAAGGUCCUACGGAUCGUAAACCUCUUUUAUCAGGGAACAAUGUGUGGGACGUGUCCUGUUUUGUAUGUACCUCAUGAAUAAGGCUCGGCCAACCCCGUGCCCGCAGCCGUCGUAAUACGGAGGAGACGAGCGUUACUCGGAUUUAUUGGGUUUAAAGGGUGCGUAGGUGGCCUUUUAAGUCCGCGGUGAAAGUUUGGGGUUCAAACAUAGGAUUGCCGUUGAAACUGGGAGGCUUGAGUAUGUGUGAGGCAGGCGGAAUGUGUGGUGUAGCGGUGAAAUGCAUAGAUAUCACGCAGAACCCCGAUUGCGAAGGCAGCCUGCCAAGGCAUGACUGACGCUGAUGCACGAAAGCGUGGGGAUCGAACAGGAUUAGAUACCCUAGUAGUC
rnacentral:rRNA from 1 species